GAAAAAGAGGGUGACGUGGAUGGUGGUACUAAGGGGAGUGAGGUUGGAGAGAAAGAGAAGGAGAUUGGAAAAGAGGGUGAUGUGGACGGUGGUACUAAGGGGAGUGAGGUUGGAGAGAAAGAGAAAGAGAUUGGAAAAGAGGAUGAGCCAAGUAAAAAUGAGAAGAUGCUUAAAAGGACUUACAAGAGAUGUGAAAAGAGAAAAAGAAUUAGCAAAAAUGAAGUGGAUCCAAAAGAACAAGGGAAAAAGGCGGAUGACAAUGUUGAUGAACCAAGGCAAGAGGACACUAAGAGGGUGAAGUUGAUAAAGAAGAAUGCGAAGUAGGGGUCUACCACUGUUGUGCAUCGGAGUCCUAUUGUGACGAGGACUAAGAAGAAUUAAGUACCAUUGUGUAUUGGAGUCC
rnacentral:lncRNA from 1 species